UACGAAGGUGGCAAGCGUUGUUCGGAUUUACUGGGCGUACAGGGAGCGUAGGCGGUUGGAUAAGCCCUCCGUGAAAUCUCCAGGCUUAACCUGGAAAGUGCAGAGGGGACUGUUCAGCUAGAGGAUGGGAGAGGAGCGCGGAAUUCCCGGUGUAGCGGUGAAAUGCGCAGAUAAUCGGGAGGAACACCAAUGGCGAAGGCAGCUCGCUGGGACGUUACUGACGCUGAGACGCGAAAGCGUGGGGAGCAAACAGGG
rnacentral:rRNA from 1 species